CCGCGUGCCAGCCCCAGGCCAGGCCGGCAGCUAUUUUGGGGCCCCCUCUAGGCCCACACACAAGGCCUGCCAGUUGGGGUCUUGAAGGAGCUCCCAGAGGACAUCCUGCAAGGACAGAGAGCAACGGGUGCCCUCCUGGGCACUAGGACAGAGCUGGCACCAGGCCCCAGGGCCCGUGCCUUCCCAGGACAGACGGUGGCAUGUGAACACAUGCACACGGGCAGCCUGGGCAGGGCGUGUGGGCGAGUGGACAGGAAUGGGCCUGAAAGCAGGGAGUUGGUCUUCGUUAUGAGGCUCUGAGCCGUAUCCCCAGCCACCUCGCCUUUGGCCUGCAGACACCGCCGCAGACCCUGGCCUGCUCUCCGUGCUCAAGCCUGGCACCUUCCAGCCGUCCUCCAGAAAGGCCUGUGUCAUCCCAUCACAUGUGCCCUCCACCGUCCACUAAACAAAGUUCCUCCCUGGUCCCCACCUCGGCCACAAGGCCCCAGGUGUGGUCAGAUCGCCACUUCUCUCCAACCUGACUUUCACACUCGCCUGCUUGACUUGCGAGCAUCCUUCAAAUCCUAAGCGUCACCUCCUCCAGGAAGCCUUCCUUGCCUUCCACAUGACCCUCUGACUUGAGACUCCCCGGGAACCUGCACUCGUCUGCCUCCCCACUCAGACACUGCACGGACUGACUUGAUCAUUUGAGUCAAAUGAACAUUUCUUAAACGACACAAAGGUGACCCCUUGCCAGGCAGCAGGUCACUUCCCUGACAGAGGCCAGGUGGGGGCAUGUGCUGCCCACUCCACCCUGGUGCUGGUACCCACUCUGUUCCCCUCCCCACAGGGUCUGGGGCCCUGGGCGGCCCUUCGUGCAGCCUUCUGAGGGCUCCCAUGGGCAGCUUGGUGGGGACCUUCAUGGGGUCCUGGACAGUCCAAAGGGAGGGAGGUGAUGCUGGCUCCUGGGGAACCCUCUCCCUGGCCUCGGAGAGCCUGGCAGUCUGGGAGGGGGCCUGGCACAGCCUCUGGAGGGCACGGCCCUCCGUGGACAACCCCCAAGGAGCCAUGGGGCCCCUACCGCACCCUUACACCUCCUGGCCACCUCCAGCUGGACUGUCACCCCCACGCUGGAGACUCCCACAGACAGGACCGCCACCAGGAGGGGGCAUGUCUGGCUGGGAGGGGCCCGGGAGCCUAAGUCACCCUGACUGGGUUCAAGCUUGGUGCUCUGCCUUCUCUGGCAAAGAAUUUUUCCUUUCUGGGACUCAGUUUCCCCAUCUGUAAAAUAGGAAUUCAUACCAGGGACCCAUGCGAGGGCUAUUGUGAACCUGAAAUGAGUCGAUAUACACAGGCACGUAGGCGGUAGAACAGCCUGAAACACGGAACGUGCUCCUAAGGGUGAGCUCCUCUGACUGCGGGGCGCGCGCGGGACGGCGAAAGCCAAAAUCCAGCCCCACAGCUCUCCGGACGCCCCCACCCCAGG
rnacentral:lncRNA from 1 species